CGCUGCGGCGUGCUAUACAUGCAGUCGAACGAAACUUUCUUACACCGAAUGCUUGCAUUCACCGUAAGAAGUUGAGUGGCGGACGGGUGAGUAACACGUGGGUAACCUGCCUAAAAGAAGGGGAUAACACUUGGAAACAGGUGCUAAUACCGUAUAUCUCUAAGGAUCGCAUGAUCCUUAGAUGAAAGAUGGUUCUGCUAUCGCUUUUAGAUGGACCCGCGGCGUAUUAACUAGUUGGUGGGGUAACGGCCUACCAAGGUGAUGAUACGUAGCCGAACUGAGAGGUUGAUCGGCCACAUUGGGACUGAGACACGGCCCAAACUCCUACGGGAGGCAGCAGUAGGGAAUCUUCCACAAUGGACGCAAGUCUGAUGGAGCAACGCCGCGUGAGUGAAGAAGGUCUUCGGAUCGUAAAACUCUGUUGUUAGAGAAGAACACGAGUGAGAGUAACUGUUCAUUCGAUGACGGUAUCUAACCAGCAAGUCACGGCUAACUACGUGCCAGCAGCCGCGGUAAUACGUAGGUGGCAAGCGUUGUCCGGAUUUAUUGGGCGUAAAGGGAACGCAGGCGGUCUUUUAAGUCUGAUGUGAAAGCCUUCGGCUUAACCGGAGUAGUGCAUUGGAAACUGGAAGACUUGAGUGCAGAAGAGGAGAGUGGAACUCCAUGUGUAGCGGUGAAAUGCGUAGAUAUAUGGAAGAACACCAGUGGCGAAAGCGGCUCUCUGGUCUGUAACUGACGCUGAGGUUCGAAAGCGUGGGUAGCAAACAGGAUA
rnacentral:rRNA from 2 species